rnacentral:tRNA from 1 species
GAAGUGAGGUGGUUCAGUGGAAGAGCUUCUGCUUUACAUGCAGAAGGUCUUAAGUUCAGUCCCCAGCAUUUCA